AUAAUUAUACCUAGAACAUAAUGCGACCUGUGAGACUGCUAAAGUAUGCUGACUGUUGAUGGGCAACCUCAGUGCCCCUUCUUUCCCUUUGGGUUCUUUCAUAUAUUUAAACUAGACUUGGACAAGACACCCUUCAAAGAGUACAUGGCUACCCUAAUUUUGUGACAGUUUUACAAGGGGAAGAGCAAUUGCUCACUGCUGUUUCUGCCUAUAUGUUGAACAGUUCUCAGAUGCAGUGUAGCAGAAAUCAUACUGGAAAAAUCAUUUUGUAAAGAUUGUGAAACUGAAAGAUGAAUGCUUGGUUUAUUCCUACUGUGUGAGUCUGCAUUUGUAAACAAUUGUUUCUCCUCCGUUUCAAGGUAAAAAAAGAGUAACAAAACUUCAAGUCGACACAUGACAUGAAAGUAAAAGGAUAAAAGAAGUCCUAACAUCAGGAAAUGAGAUAAUAUUAGAUCUACUUGUAGAACUCAAUCUACCAUCUGUCUGUCCACCUCUUCUCUUCUCAUAUCAGCAGAUUCAUCCACUAAGACAAUUAUCCUCACCCAAAGCUGCUCACGUGAAUAGAAAAGAGGAAAGCAGGAUAUGCCACCAGGCUUACAAAGUAAAGACAAGACACAGAAGCGAAGGGGAAGUCAGUUAUUCAAGGCCAUAACAAAGUGCUGAACAUGAUACCCAGCUCAGGUAAGGUUGAUCUUCGUGUGCUGGGGUUCUUGCUUGAUUAACAGUUGGCGGUU
rnacentral:lncRNA from 1 species